GAACAGGAAGGUGGCAAUGCCAGAUGAGAGAGCAACAAGUGCUGAAAGGGUGACAGCCCUGGAAACAGCACUCACAGGAUUUGCCGAAAGAAAAACAGACACGGUGGUGACACCAUCGGUUGGGCUGACUUUUGACUCUAUAAUCGAGGCCUAUGAUUUUUACAAUCUUUAUUCCUGGGAGACAGGGUUUGGCAUCAGAUAUGCAAAGAGCAGAACCAAUGUCAAAGGAACGAGAUGCAUGCAGGAGUUUGUGUGUUGCUGCUCGGGCAAGCCAAAAGAGGCGAACUCAACAUCAUCACGGUGUCAAUGCCAAGCCAUGAUAAGACUCUUGCGUAUAGAUGACGAUGGCUGGUACAUCAACGAAUUCAGGUCCAGCCACAAUCACUCGAUGUUGAACACAUGUGCUGAGAAACUCCACUUCCCUUCAUAUAGGCAUAUUGACAAAUAUACGAGAGAGAUAGUAUCUCAACUUAGAGAGAAUAAUGUGAACCUGAGCAAAGUUUACAACAUUCUUGCAACUUUUUUUGGAAGGGUAGAAAACGUUCCGUUCACCAAAAGAUGCUUGAGGACACUGUGUGGGAAGCUGAGUAGGGAGCAGGCGGACGAUGAUGUACAGAAGACUAUGGCCAUCUUUUCAGAAUUGAAAGUCCAAGACGGCGAGUUUACUUACAAUGUGCAGGUAGACGAUGAAAGUAGGAUACGCACUCUCAUGUGGACAAAUGGGCGUAGCAAAAAACAAUACCAUCACUUUGGCGAUGUGGUCACAUUCGACAUAACAUACAAGACCAAUCUAUACGAUAUGCCAUUCGGAAUUUUUGUUGGCGUGAACAACCACUUCCAGAGUGUGUUGUAUGCUGGUGUGCUCAUGCGAGAUGAGAAGGUCGACACUUUCAAAUGGAUUUUUGAUGAGUUUGUGAAGAUGAUGGGAGGGAAAAGACCAAUUACAAUUUUGACAGACCAAGCCAGGGCGAUGGAAGUCGCUAUUGAGGAAAUAUAUCCAGAUGCAACACACAGAUGGUGCAAGUGGCACAUCCUGAAGAAGGCCAAAGAGAGCCUGGGGUCUAAUUACACAAAGAAGUCUGAUUUCAGGGCAGAAUUCCACAAGUUGGUCCACGAGAUGCUCACCAUCGAGGAGUUCGAGGACGGGUGGGCAGCGUUGCUUGAGAAGUACUCACUGACUAAGAACACAUACCUGACGCAAAUUU
rnacentral:rRNA from 1 species